rnacentral:rRNA from 1 species
GAUGAACGCUAGCGGCAGGCUUAAUACAUGCAAGUCGAGGGGCAGCGUGACUGUAGCAAUACAGUUGAUGGCGACCGGCAAACGGGUGCGGAACACGUACAGAACCUUCCUUCGAGCGGGGAAUAGCCCAGAGAAAUUUGGAUUAAUACCCCAUAGUACAACGGAGUGGCAUCACUUUGUUGUUAAAGAUUUAUCACUUGAAGAUGGCUGUGCGGCUGAUUAGGUAGUUGGCGGGGUAACGGCCCACCAAGCCUGCGAUCAGUAACUGGUGUGAGAGCACGACCAGUCACACGGGCACUGAGACACGGGCCCGACUCCUACGGGAGGCAGCAGUAAGGAAUAUUGGUCAAUGGACGAAAGUCUGAACCAGCCAUGCCGCGUGGAGGAUGAAGGUCCUCUGGAUUGUAAACUUCUUUUAUAUGGGACGAAAAAAGGGUUUUCUAACUCGUCUGACGGUACCAUAUGAAUAAGCACCGGCUAACUCCGUGCCAGCAGCCGACGG